GGUGGCUCAGUGGUAGAGUGCUUGCCUUGCAUGCAUGAGGCCCUGGGUUCAAUUCCCCAGUACCA
rnacentral:tRNA from 1 species